CAGCCGCCGCGGUAAUACAGAGGGUGCAAGCGUUAAUCGGAAUUACUGGGCGUAAAGCGCGCGUAGGUGGUUUGUUAAGUUGGAUGUGAAAGCCCCGGGCUCAACCUGGGAACUGCAUCCAAAACUGGCAAGCUAGAGUACGGUAGAGGGUGGUGGAAUUUCCUGUGUAGCGGUGAAAUGCGUAGAUAUAGGAAGGAACACCAGUGGCGAAGGCGACCACCUGGACUGAUACUGACACUGAGGUGCGAAAGCGUGGGGAGCAAACAGGAUUAGAUACCCCAGUAGUCCCUGUCUCUUAUAC
rnacentral:rRNA from 1 species